rfam:Helianthus annuus linkage group 11, whole genome shotgun sequence.
GGAUGUAUUACUGGGUAAGUACUCCUCUGGCAGUUAGUAAGUUGUUCGCUAAGACUAACCGCCAAGGGAGAUUUGCCCUGCAAUCCAUUA